GCCAGGCAUGAGGUCAUGUACCUGUAGACCCAGGUACUCAGAAGUUUGAGGUGGGAAGAUUGCUUGCACCCAGGAGUUCUGGGCUAUAGUGCACUAUGCCAAUCAAGUGUCCUUCAGCAUCAGUAUGGUGUCCUCCCAGAAGCAGAGGACCACCAGAGGAGUGAACCAGCCAAGAUCAAAAAUGGGGAAGGUCAAACCUCUUGUUCUCAUCAGUAAUGGAAUCAACUCUGUGCAUAGCCACUCACUCUAGCCUGGGAAACAUAACAGGACCCUGUCUCA
rnacentral:SRP_RNA from 1 species